rnacentral:lncRNA from 1 species
CCGUCCUAUCCCAGCUACGCCAAUCACUGUCCAUCCUCCUCCAGCUCCACCUGCAAUCGCACCAGCGCCAAAAAGGCAAGCUAUAGGAGGUAGAGUUUACGCUUUAGAACUAGAAGAUACUAAACCUCCAGGCCCAUCUAAGGGUCCCAUCACAGGUAUUUGGGUUCUUUAACCUUACUAAUUUGACUUUGUGUUGUGUGAUUGCUUGUGAUAGAUUGGUUAAUUUCUAUUGGAUAAUUAUUAUGUUGUUGAUAUAUAUUGAUGUUGUGGC